CAGUCAAUUGUAUUCAGAUCCCAACAGGAUCAGGCCCAACACCUUUUAAGAGGAAGAGGAGUUUUCUAAGAAUGGUAGCAAAAUACAGGGCUCUUGAGCACAGAAAUGCAGAGCAGGGAAGGAUGCAAGGUUGGCUUGGAAGCGGGGGCGCCACUGAAAAACGAAGUGUGUCGCACCUGAAGGCAAGUGCACCAAGUUAAUUGAAAAGCUUCAGGAAACGGGAAUUCCUCGCAGUGAUACCGUCACAUGCGUCAGUCACCAGAUGUAAACCGACUCAUUUACAAAUGAUCAUCGUCUUGCUGGCUGCUUGUCGAUUUCGGCUGUGGGCUGUCAUGUGGGAACUGCAAAUGCCACCUUCUAAAAGCCACUGGGGAGCUAAAACAGAAUUUUGGAUAUCUUUCAGACAAGCGGCUUUCAGAUGCUUAUCUGAAGCAAACCUCCAAAUCUAACCAGGACAACCACAUGUCUGUCAUAACUAAUUCUGGCAUUGGAAAAACCUUGUCCUCACAUGUGUCUGAUUCAGAAUGAAGAGCUGCUAAAGGACUGGAUUUUCGAUGGAACAAGAACUUUUCUGGUGACCUAGAUUUAAAAAAAAAAAAAAAAAAAGUGAAGAGAGAAAAUCCAAAUUACUAGCGGAUGACGUUACUUGUUGUGUCCAGUAUCUAGUCCAUAAUUCAGGAAGGUUCUAACAUCUAGUCAUGGGUGAGUCUCUCAAUUUCACUCUCUUUCUCAUUGCGAGAACCAAUGGCUGGAAGCUAAGCCAAACAAAUUCAAACUAGAAAGGAGACACUAAGGUUUAACACUAAGGGUGAUUAACUGUUGAAACAAACUACCAGUGGAAGUGAUGGAUUCUCUUCAGAUCAAGAUGCCUUUCUGGAAGAGAUGUUUUAGUCAAACAAAAGUUAUUGGGCUCAAUACUGGAAUAACAGUGCACUUCUGUGUUAUACAGGAGGUGAGUAAACUCUGUGAAUCUCUUUUUCUUUCCAUACAUUUCAAAUUAUAUAAACCCAGUGAUGAAGGAGGCAAAAGGGGUCAAAGUUUCUAUAUAUUAUUCUAAAAGAUGAGAUGAUUUACCAUAACCAAAAAGACACUACGGCAGGAUGAUGGAGGACCCGAUAGCAAGUGUGAAAAAUGAGGAUGGUGGUAGGAGGUAAUAGGCUCCUAUAUAAGAUAAAGCCCUGAAUAUUGGGAUUGUCCCUAUCAAAUCGGAACAUCUGGUCACCCGAGCAGGAUGCCACUCCAAUUCUGAGAAUUCUUGUUUGUUGACAUGAUAACAAGAAGUCUAUUGCAGUGCAUAUGCACCCUUUGGUUAUUAAUUUCCUCCAGCUUCUGAGCAACCCUUGAAUUGUUUGUCAAGUUUUUUUUUAAAGUGAUUUAUGGAUCUGAGGAAGAGAAAGAGGCAAGGGUUUUAUAAAUAGUGACUCCCUUUCAUUCCCAUCCAGUGCAUUAAUUGAGCAUUAUCUGUAAUUGGAAACAUAAAGUGCAUUCCUUCUUGGAUCUCAUGCCGACGGCUGCCCUGAUGUGACUCUUAAUGUAUCAUAAACCUACAGUGCAGUACUAUGGAUUUUCUUGUUUUUAAUGAAGUUAACAUAUGUGGACUUUGACAUAUGCAGGGGUGUAUCUAGUGUGCACUGUUGGACAAAGAGGGUUUAUUACUUUUCUCUUCUUUAGAAAUGUCCAUUCUCAACAAAGAUGUCCAUUUUAAG